UAGGGGUGCAGGAAUGCAGCCUGCACAGGUAAAAGCUUUGUGCAAGUACAACAAUCUAGCAAAACCUUCCCAGAUCCACACUGGUUCCGGUGUUCAUGUCAUGCAUGGAGGAUAAAACUCGUUACAAAGAAAGAAAAUUAAUAAUUUGCAGCAUAUCUAAAGGAUGCAGAGUGAGAACAAUAAGGCUUCAUGAGGAACACAAUUGGCCCUAAUCCUCUUCCGUACAGAAGGGAGGAGGGGCAGAGUUGAGACGGACAGAAGGACCCAACAUUUAAAGACUAGGAUACGCCACUUUUCCACCCUGUAGGAAGGCUGCAUCCAAAAGGAUUCAGGGUCGCGUGGAUUCAGCAGAACAGGCAGAACAUGCCCUUUACUUGUGCCUGCUUCUGUGCUCUAAAUGGCUUUUGCAACAGAAGGAAGAAGAAGAAAAAGGACCAAGCAUCAGAGGAGGAGGCGGGAGACGAGGAGCAUCACAGGGAUGAGGAAACUGUGGUGUGACAAUGUUGUUGUCAACUUUAAAACGCUGUAAUGUACAUCCAAGGUCGCAGAUUAUCAGCCAAUCAGCUGUAAGCUGAAUAUUCCUACCCAGGGAAUGAAGGGCUUCCUUGCUUUUAUACAAUUCACUAUGAAACUGGCCUUUUUAAGCAGUUUCAUGUUUCUAAAAAUCCAUUAUUUUCCAAGGUAAAUAAGACUGAUGAAAAUAAUGGCCUCAAACUUUUUGUUGAUCCUCCAUUAUCUAAACCCGCGUUACUCCAAUUAUCCAUAACCAGCCGAGGGAGAAAAAUUUUUUUUUAGAGUUUAGUGUAGAGAGACAAAGGUCUCUCAAACUCCAUUAUUCUGUUCAGCCAUACCUCUCAGCAAUGCCCCGUUUUUUCCCUUCUCAACCUUUACUGCACCUCCUCCACGGAGGCAGGAUUGGAACUAAAGCUCAGAGGAGUUCUGCUCUUAUUCACCUGCUUACUUAUGUCAGAUCCACUCAGAGAACAUUUCAGCCAAGUAGAGAAAGUAGAGUGAUUUCUGGAGUCGCCCACAGAGGGGCCCGAGCCCAUCUCGGUUUUUCACGCUGCGCUGACCUCCAUCUAAAGCCAAGCAGCUGUCCAAUCAGUGGCGUAGCUGGAGUGUGAAGAUAUGAGUCAAGGGUCAGAAUGAGAACGGAGCUUGCAGAACAUCACUCCUCUGAUGCUGCAGCCUCUCCGUGUCACUAAUAACCGAACAAGUAAUUACCGAUAGGAGCGCCUUCAAUCCCUUCAUUAAUGUCCGGCUCUGUGGGAACGGAGCUUCUCACCGUAAAUGCCACUACAAUGCACUCACACUUAUCACCUGUUGGAGGGCACGGCUACACAAGCGUGCACGGCGCUCAGGUUCUUCAGCCGACACAAUAGGCUUUGAAAGUGGAACUGAGUGGUUGAUAUAUCGUCAGAGGCGUUCUUGAGUGCACCCAGAUGCACAAAGACAAAGGCUGGUGUAUAGGUCUCAUUAGUAUGCAUGAUUAUGCGACGCACGUCCAGUCAGGCAGCGGAGAUGUAAUUAACCUUUUCCAGCAGGAAACAGAUGCCUGGAUGUCACACACACACACACACACACACACACACGUCUGCUGUCAGGGAAACAAAGCCGACGUCACAGUGUCACGGAAACAAAGCCUUGAACGCGCCGCCGCCUGGCACCCUCUGAUAAUCCCCUCACCCAUAUUUACAUUCAGGGCUUAAAGUGACACCAUCUCCACCUCUUUACUGUGUUGGUAUCAACCAACCCAAGUCCCACCCCCCUUCCUCUUUUACAUGAUGUCUCCUUAAACUUUCUCCUUGGUGGGAUUCAUCCGUUUGUUAUCGGUAGAUGCUACACGGCCCUGCAUGGCAGCUCCCGUAGAUUAGCCUCUGCCUUUGCUUUCCCAUAUCGGGGAUUUCUUCUGGCGGGUUAAAAAAAAUAGAAAAGAAAGAAGCUGCUUUCCGACAGAUUAAUGGAGGACCUGAUUGUGUGUGUUAAUGUGGCUCAGCUCCUGAGCUGAACGCCCUGUUUAUUCAUUCUCCCGCCACGAGCAGCGAAAUGAAACAAAGCUAAAUCCAUUUCACAGCGUAGAGCACCUAUUAUGAUUCAGUGUGUCACGCCUUAAUGAGAAGGAGAGAAAACGAGAGGAGGAGCUGAAGGAGAGGAGGAAGAGACAGUAAUGAGACGGUCUAAUGCUGGACAGAGCAGUCAUGCUAAUUGGCUACAGUGGAUAAGUUUCUCCAGUCGGGUGGAGGGGGUUUGUAUGGGGCAGUUAUCUGUCGUCACUCCUCUCAGUUAACGAUCCCUCCCUACCACAUCUUUAAUGAACGCAAUAGUUGUUGCACUAAUGGUGAAAAGCUGUGGAUUUUCUGCAGUUUGUUGGACCCCCCCCUGCAGAUGGCAGCCCAGCCUUUAUGAAUCAUGACAAUUUUCAGGAAUUGUAACUCAAGGACAACCAGCUAUAAAUAGACGGUUGGUGCACGACUCCUGUGGUAGCUACGAGGGAGGAGGCGCAUGCGUGGGGGGGGGGCGUGAAAACGACUCCCGUCGCAUUAGAUUUGGGUCAAAAGCGAAGGAAAAGCCGCUGAAGCGAAGAGUGUUACAGACGGCUGGGAGAUUCAUCGCUCUGUUCAUCUCACCUCUUUUAACACCUCAUACCUGCAAAGCACAGGGAGGGGGGGGGCAGAGAUGCCAAGCAUGAGACCAGGGAUUGAUGCUAAAGGUGUUGGAAAACAUGGAAAAGAUCAAUAAUAAAAAGAAAAAAAAAGGAGUUCCUGUAGUCGGUUAUAAAAGAAGAAUAAAAUCAACCUUAAUUAGAUAAUGCAAUUUAAUCUGCGUUCUAAUAUCAAUAUGCUGAAAGAUCCAAGCAGGAAGUAAACCUGAGCUGCAGGUCACACCAGAUUUAAAUCAGAGAUCCUGGAACAAACCAAAUCACUCACAGAUUUUCGUAGAAGCUCUGAGGCAUCUAGGUGUAAAUGUCACAUUUUUUCUUCGUUAAGUAACAACGGUUUAUAAAUUAAAAGAUCCAAUGAGGUAAGAAUCCACCCAUCCUCUGCAGAUGUCCUCCAGCAGUCUAAGCCUAUAGCAGCAGAACUAUAG